GACGAACGCUGGCGGCGUGCUUAACACAUGCAAGUCGAACGGUAAGGCCCCUUCGGGGGUACACGAGUGGCGAACGGGUGAGUAACACGUGGGUGACCUGCCCUGUACUUCGGGAUAAGCCUGGGAAACUGGGUCUAAUACCGGAUAUUCACUUCCUGCUGCAUGGUGGGUGGUGGAAAGUUUUUUCGGCUGGGGAUGGGCCCGCGGCCUAUCAGCUUGUUGGUGGGGUGAUGGCCUACCAAGGCGACGACGGGUAGCCGGCCUGAGAGGGCGACCGGCCACACUGGGACUGAGACACGGCCCAGACUCCUACGGGAGGCAGCAGUGGGGAAUAUUGCGCAAUGGGCGGAAGCCUGACGCAGCGACGCCGCGUGGGGGAUGACGGCCUUCGGGUUGUAAACCUCUUUCGACCGGGACGAAGAGCGAUUGACGGUACCGGUAGAAGAAGCACCGGCCAACUACGUGCCAGCCGCCGCAGUAACAC
rnacentral:rRNA from 1 species